UAUUGGACAAUGGGCGCAAGCCUGAUCCAGCCAUACCGCGUGGGUGAAGAAGGCCUUNNNGUUGUNACGCCCUUUUGUUGGGANAGANAUCCAGCUGGCUAAUACCCGGUUGGGAUGACGGUACCCAAAGAAUAAGCCCCGGCUAACUUCGUGCCAGCAGCCGCGGUAAUACGAAGGGUGCAAGCGUUACUCGGAAUUACUGGGCGUAAAGCGUGCGUAGGUGGUCGUUUAAGUCCGUUGUGAAAGCCCUGGGCUCAACCUGGGAACUGCAGUGGAUACUGGGCGACUAGAAUGUGGUAGAGGGUAGCGGAAUUCCUGGUGUAGCAGUGAAAUGCGUAGAGAUCAGGAGGAACAUCCAUGGCGAAGGCAGCUACCUGGACCAACAUUGACACUGAGGCACGAAAGCGUGGGGAGCAAAC
rnacentral:rRNA from 1 species